AUUAAUUCCCUUGUUUGGAACAUUGAUCUUACCGAACAAGGUGCUGACUAGUCCCUCCGUUCAUGAGUUACUGAGCUCUGGAGGUCUCAACGGUGUUCGGUCGUUUGAGUGUCCCAUUUGAGUUCCAGACACUCGACGACCAAACACCGCUGAGAUUUUCAUGCGUAAGAUGGCCGCCUCACGUGGUUCGUAUGCCGAACGGCGACCACACAGGCACAUACAAUGGAUCAAUUAAGCUGCGGUUUGCAGAGUGUGAAUG